ensembl:lncRNA
CUUUGGGAACGGCUUUGUAGGAGAGGGAAGGUGACACCUUUCAGUAGCACAAUAUUUUUAACCUUGGUUUGCUGCUGCGAGAGGCUCAGGUUUUGAAAUGCGUCGCCGAUGGUGGAGGAACAUGAUUGAGGCUACCAUUAUAUUGGAGGAAAUAGUUUUAAAGCCUCAUGCUAUCAGAUGAUGCUGUGUGUGUCCGAAGUGCUGUAUCUGCCUGCGCUGUGCCUCUGCCUCAAGAUCCAGUAUUCCAGGAAAACUUCUUACACUAGAGAUCAAGCUUUAAGCCUACAUGUCCCUUUGAGGUGUAGAACCAACUCGGAACGUGGUCCUACAGCUCCAGAUCCAAGCUGGAAGCAGGCUGAAGCUUCAGAGGGCUUUGCGAGGCUAUGGCACUUGUAAACCUGAACCCACAUGACAUUUCUGAGUCUUCUGGUGGUGGCUGCUGUUCACCUCACUAAUGGGAUCGCUAUCUGCCUCUGAAAUUUCUGAAGCCUCAGAAGCUGUCACACCAACUGCUUUUCCACCUCCAUUUGGUUUUAACAGCAAGUGGGACGUGCGUGUUUGAGCAACCUGUCUACCGUGCAAAGGUAAAGAAUCUUUAAGUCCCAUGCGGAGUGGCUGGUCCAGCUUUACCUUGAAAACCUCCAAGAAAUAAACAAGUCAUUAAUGUUGGGAGUUGAAGCGCUGAAUCAUGCCUCCCACGCUUUAGAACUUGUGUUCCAUUGAGUCUAAUUAUUUCACACUUGCUACACGGAUCUUUGAGCAACCUCUUCUGAGAAUAUUCACACUGAAAAAGAAAAAGCUCUGAUAAGAAGUCUAACACUGGGACAAAGGCUCUGGUCAAACUCGCCGGAACCAAAUGUUGACUGGUCUCCCAGGAAUGACGGCACCAAACAAAUUCAGGCAAACUUGGAAUUACAGCGAGAGCAGCGUAGUCAACGUGCAGCUGACCAGGUGUAUUGCAACCUCAAGAAAAUGCUGAACCAUAAAAGCACUUUAACCGGUUCCAUCUGUGUAUCUGAGAUGGAGUGAGAGUAUGUUUGAAUUCCAUCAAAUCCCUCUCCUCUGUUGCAGCCCUGAGCAGAGCAGAGAGUCAGCAGAAAUAGGACACUGCUUUUUGCUGUUGCUUGAGGACUGGGGAUAGGGAGUUACUAUUUGUUUAAAAAUGGAUAAAUAAAUCACUAACCUACAGCAAACUCAGGAAGGCAAUGUAUCAGGUACUCGACAGCUCUUAGUGCUGAGAAGGAACUUCAGCACUACGACAUUGUUUUCCUGUGUGCCAUUCUUAUCUGACAGGUAGUACCAGCUGCCAGAACCCAUGUGGCUUUACUCUGUACUUUGUAUUGAAAUAUAAAUGGAGCUGAAUGCUUGUCAUAGUCCUGUGGGCAGGGCUCCUGACUACUGCAGAGUUUAAUAUUGUGAUUGGCAACGUGAAAUCAGCUGAUGUAAUCCAUUCCAUUACAGAUAUUCACGGCAUGCCAUAUUACAAUACAGAGGCAGAGGUUUAGAGACUAGAAAGAUGUGACAAGCCAAAAAGCCAACCCAUUCAGAACCAAGGCUGGCACUGAAGAGCACCCCUCACUUUACAUUCACAAAAGUUCCUUUUAAUGCCAUUAGGAGUACACAGGAAGCAAAAUUCAGGUCAGGCACAAAGCACAUGGCAAAUAAAGUCACGGUUCCCCAGGCCACAUCUGACUGUAGAUCUGUCUUUAGCAUUACCUAGUGACUCAUGAUCACCAGCAUGUAUUGUCCAAAGUCAUUCCUAGGUUUCCCCAUUCUUUGGCCAAACAUCACAAGGCUUGGCUUAUUGUAGUGCAGGGGGAAGGAGCAGCACAGAGGCGUUUGUUCCUCUUUCUAGCAGCCUCACAGUACUCCGGCAGUAGCUCAGAAGCUGAUGCAGUGAUCUGUGUGCUAUUACAAGUCACAAAGCUCUGUGCAGUUUACUUAUACUUUCGAAGUCCUGGAUAUUUCCUUCCUGAAUUUCUCACAUGCCACCAGCCUCCAUCAGAAGCCAACUCUCAUCAAGCAGCUCUUUUAGACUUGAGGGUGCAGGCAGAGUGACCCCCACCUGCUGACUAACCCAUUUCUUUCCCAAAGCACGUGUUGAGCAAAAUCAGCACUUCCACUGGUUUUAAGGGGGGCUGUUCUUGUGGAAGGCACUGGAGAGGCUUCACAUGCAACUGAGGAGUUUCUACUACAGACCAUUGAUGAAAUAUACGCAGCUCCUGGUGCUUGGGAUUGGAAGAGAAAAAAAUACUGACAAUGUACAUUGAAUACAGUGCUGUUUUGAAUACAAAUAGGCCCAAUGUGGGUGCAUCUUUCCCCAGUUCUCUUUAACGUUCAAAGGAGGCUGGAGCCCAAGUGAUUAAUUGAACAAGGUCAUCAUGUGUUUACUUUUAUUUGUGAAGGGAGCGGUAAAAACAAAGAGUAUAUGAAACAAACGUUGUUUGCUAUACCAUUAAAUCAAUUUCUUUCCUUUUGCAAUGGUUUCUAAGUGUUGUUGGUAAAAAUAAUGUUGCUUUCACAGUAUAUCAUGUAAAGUGAUUUCAGGUGCAGUUUUUCUGCUGCUGACCUCUGCACUGCUUGCAUUUCAG